CCCAGUGCUGUAAACUAAUCCCCUGUGGGAGGUGGAGUACCUGCAGCGCUGGGAGAGCACUCUCUCAGCGCUGGCGCCACGACCACACUCGCAACUUCAAAGCGCUGCCGCGGGAGCGCUCCCACGGCAGCGCUCUGAAGUUGCAAGUGUAGCCAUACCCUUACUCCAGAUGGACACCAGUGUAAGUGAGCAGAAUUUGAACUAGUGUUGGUACACAAAUACAAACAUCCAUAGUUACCCAAAUACCUGAUGAUAGAGUUCUCAAAACAAUCCCUGGUGCACGCUUAUUUUUAAUACUGUAUAGAAAUUAGAAUAAAUAGUUUCUAGGAAAAACUAAUAAUUUUUGAAAAUUUACUUAAUUUUUCUGUUAAUUUCUAAAUACUUAUCUGACUCUGAGAUCAGAUAAUUAAUACAAAGUUAGUCUUGUUUCAGAAACCAAACAUGGAUAUAACUGAGAGGAAGAUCUAAUUUUAUUUUGAGUGAACUUUGAUACAAUAACUUGCAUUUUCCUAGAAAAUGUCUCUUUUCCAUGCUUCUACUGUACUUUAUUAUACAGUAUAAUUUUCUAGGCAGUGUACUGGAAAAUGAUCCCUGACUAUAAUCCUUUAUUUUAUGCAUUUAAACCAUACCACACCCCAAAUUCCCCCAGGGAAUUUUCACUUGUUGAACCCAAUGGAUCACAUUUAAUGUGGCCUCCUCUCUGCUGCUAUUAUGAAGUGAGGCAACAACUGUCAGUGUGCCAUUUGUAGAGAUUUUUUAAAAAGUACCUGCCUGUCUCAAGGCUAGGACUUGACUGGUAACUUUUCAACUAGUUGUUGAAAUACCCUGAUAAAUGAGUGAUUAGUUUCAUUACUUUAGCUGUUAGAAAGGAGCUGGAGAGAAACAAAAUAAGUGAGUAGCACGUUCCUCAUGUGCAAACCUCAAGAUGAUAGAGGUGGCAUGAAAGGCAGUUCUUGAGAUGGCACAAACAGGUCCAGCAUCCUGAUGAGCAGUGGGAAUUGUGACAGUGUGUAUGGUAAUUAUCUUGAUGCAUGGGUAAUGUCUCAAUGCUGUGGUACAUGAAGGGUAUGGUUCACUUUUUAAUGUAUUUAACAUAUAUGUAUACUGCUUAAAGCAUGGCUGGGGACUAGGAAAUCUGGGUUGUAUUUUUGACUUUUUCAUAGACUCACUGUGCAACUUUGGACAAGUUACUUAGGCCCAGCUCCACAAAGAUAUUUAGGUUCCUAACUUCCACCUUUGUGGAUCUGGGCCUUAGCCACAGUUUCUUCUACCUGUGGAAUGAGUAUAAUGCUGACCUGCCCAACAGUAUCAUGAGGUGUAGGUUGUAGUUUGUAAAACCCUGAGAUUGAGUGCUGCCAUUUUACUGAAAACUGUUUUACAAAAUGUGCAACAGGAGUGAUGAAGGAUCUUUUACACUGGGAAGAUCAAACUGAGCGGAGACAAUUUCCUGCAGAAAAUUCCUUGCUUGCAUUACUCUGGAGUCAAAGAAUAUUUUGCUUCCAUGCUGUUCCACUAGUUUAUAUAAAGGGAAUGAUUACACUAUUCCAAGGGAUGUGAUCCAGAAAGACCUGCAAAGAUUGCCCUCUGCCACCACUCUUAUUAAAUCCAGGAGGAGAACUCCUGUAGUUCCAGACCACAGGAAUGGUUGUUACUCUGACACUUGCUAAAUAUAAAGGAAAAUGUUAUGCGAGUAAUUAUGGAUCUGUUCACUAUCAGAAUUAAACCCUUUUCUUUUC